rnacentral:rRNA from 1 species
AUUGAACGCUGGCGGCAUGCUUUACACAUGCAAGUCGAACGGCAGCGCGGGCUUCGGCCUGGCGGCGAGUGGCGAACGGGUGAGUAAUGCAUCGGAACGUGCCCAGUAGUGGGGGAUAGCCCGGCGAAAGCCGGAUUAAUACCGCAUACGACCUGAGGGUGAAAGCGGGGGACCGAAAGGCCUCGCGCUAUUGGAGCGGCCGAUGUCGGAUUAGCUAGUUGGUGGAGUAAAGGCUUACCAAGGCGACGAUCCGUAGCUGGUCUGAGAGGACGACCGGCCACACUGGGACUGAGACACGGCCCAGACUCCUACGGGAGGCAGCAGUGGGGAAUUUUGGACAAUGGGGGCAACCCUGAUCCAGCCAUGCCGCGUGCGAGAAGAAGGCCUUCGGGUUGUAAACCGCUUUUGUUCGGGAAGAAAUCCUCUGGGCUAAUACCCCGGGGGGAUGACGGUACCGGAAGAAUAAGCACCGGCUAACUACGUG